rnacentral:lncRNA from 1 species
CAGGUGCUCUGCCUCCAGCAAGAGGUGGCUCUGGGGGACAGCUCUCCAUGGGGGACAGCUCUCCAUGGGGGACAGCUCUCCAUGGGCUUGGACACCCGUGCUCCCAGACAACAGCUUCUGCAGUGCUCCCAGAUGAGAGCCAGAGCCCUGCCUAUCGGGAGGCCACACACAUGCCCAGGACUUCUAGGCCUCAGCAGUGCUCCCAAGGGUGUGGCACCAGGUGAAGCAGGGCAGGUGGAAUGCAGGAGCAGGCAGGAAAACCCAGCUCUUCCGAGUCAGACACUCGAGAGCUCUGGAGACACGAAGACAAUGCCAUGCCUCCCCCUAAAUGCUUUUUGUUUUGGAAAAUAUAGCUGUUCGUCAUAAGGUAUUUACGUUGACGUA